GGUGAGUAAUGCAUCGGAACGUACCUAGUCGUGGGGGAUAACGUAGCGAAAGUUACGCUAAUACCGCAUACGUCCUACGGGAGAAAGCAGGGGAUCGCAAGACCUUGCGCGAUUAGAGCGGCCGAUGUCUGAUUAGCUAGUUGGUAGGGUAAAGGCCUACCAAGGCAUCGAUCAGUAGCGGGUCUGAGAGGAUGAUCCGCCACACUGGAACUGAGACACGGUCCAGACUCCUACGGGAGGCAGCAGUGGGGAAUUUUGGACAAUGGGGGCAACCCUGAUCCAGCCAUUCCGCGUGAGUGAAGAAGGCCUUCGGGUUGUAAAGCUCUUUCGGCAGGGAAGAAACGGUCCGCUCUAACAUAGCGGACUACUGACGGUACCUGAAGAAGAAGCACCGGCUAACUACGUGCCAGCAGCCGCGGUAAUACGUAGGGUGCGAGCGUUAAUCGGAAUUACUGGGCGUAAAGCGUGCGCAGGCGGCUUUUUAAGCCAGAUGUGAAAUCCCCGGGCUUAACCUGGGAACUGCAUUUGGAACUGGAAGGCUAGAGUGCGGCAGAGGGGGGUAGAAUUCCACGUGUAGCAGUGAAAUGCGUAGAGAUGUGGAGGAAUACCGAUGGCGAAGGCAGCCCCCUGGGUCGACACUGACGCUCAUGCACGAGAGCGUGGGGAGCAAACAGGAUUAGAUACCCUGGUAGUCCACGCCGUAAACGAUGUCUACUAGCUGUUCGUGGUCUUGUACUGUGAGUAGCGCAGCUAACGCACUAAGUAGACCGCCUGGGGAGUACGGUCGCAAGAUU
rnacentral:rRNA from 1 species